GAAACUGAUGACGAGACUGAAUGAACAUUUUCUCGCUUUUAUAUUGUAUUUUUCAAUAUAAUUGCGUACAACAUUUGUUUAAUUAAGAUGAAUCGGCAAUCUGAUGGCACAAUUAGCUUGAACUUGUGACUACGGUUAAUGUGCUCGCGCAUUAAAUUGAAACAUAAAUUAUAAGGAUUUGUCCUAAAAGCGCCUAAGAUGGCUUUCCCGUAAUGGAGCCUCUGUGCCUUCAACAUAAAGUGAGGUUAUGGCAAUUACUUUUGAUGCAUUCUUCGGCAUUGAAGUGAAAAGCAUGAUGCAUUUUGCUGAGUUCGGCACUGCUGUACCAUCAAUUUAAACUGAAUAAAUUUGAUUGCAUAAAAAAAAAAAACAUUACUG